rnacentral:rRNA from 1 species
UAUGGGGGGGGGGUAAGCGUUGUUCGGAAUUACUGGGCGUAAAGGGCUCGUAGGCGGCCAACUAAGUCAGACGUGAAAUCCCUCAGCUUAACUGGGGAACUGCGUCUGAUACUGGAUGGCUUGGAUUCGGGAGAGGAAUGCGGAAUUCCAGGUGUAGCGGUGAAAUGCGUAGAUAUCUGGAGGAACACCGGUGGCGAAGGCGGCAUUCUGGACCGACAUUGACGCUGAGGAGCGAAAGCCAGGGGGAGCAAACGGG